AUUAUCGGGUCUAUUACUUCUAACGAUCACAUUAUAUUUUUAAUCGGUUGAUUUCAAAUCUUGUACUUCAAUUUUUUUAACAUGCAUUCUAUUAUAUAAAGGACCAGCUUACCCAGUGCUUGUCAUUAUUUUUCUCGUCGUUAUCGAUAACAGAUGAAUAGCCGUACUGG